rnacentral:rRNA from 1 species
GAUGAACGCUGGCGGCGUGCCUAAUACAUGCAAGUCGAGCGAACGGACGAGAAGCUUGCUUCUCUGAUGUUAGCGGCGGACGGGUGAGUAACACGUGGAUAACCUACCUAUAAGACUGGGAUAACUUCGGGAAACCGGAGCUAAUACCGGAUAAUAUUUUGAACCGCAUGGUUCAAAAGUGAAAGACGGUCUUGCUGUCACUUAUAGAUGGAUCCGCGCUGCAUUAGCUAGUUGGUAAGGUAACGGCUUACCAAGGCAACGAUGCAUAGCCGACCUGAGAGGGUGAUCGGCCACACUGGAACUGAGACACGGUCCAGACUCCUACGGGAGGCAGCAGUAGGGAAUCUUCCGCAAUGGGCGAAAGCCUGACGGAGCAACGCCGCGUGAGUGAUGAAGGUCUUCGGAUCGUAAAACUCUGUUAUUAGGGAAGAACAUAUGUGUAAGUAACUGUGCACAUCUUGACGGUACCUAAUCAGAAAGCCACGGCUAACUACGUGCCAGCAGCCGCGGUAAUACGUAGGUGGCAAGCGUUAUCCGGAAUUAUUGGGCGUAAAGCGCGCGUAGGCGGUUUUUUAAGUCUGAUGUGAAAGCCCACGGCUCAACCGUGGAGGGUCAUUGGAAACUGGAAAACUUGAGUGCAGAAGAGGAGAGUGGAAUUCCAUGUGUAGCGGUGAAAUGCGCAGAGAUAUGGAGGAACACCAGUGGCGAAGGCGACUUUCUGGUCUGUAACUGACGCUGAUGUGCGAAAGCGUGGGGAUCAAACAGGAUUAGAUACCCUGGUAGUCCACGCCGUAAACGAUGAGUGCUAAGUGUUAGGGGGUUUCCGCCCCUUAGUGCUGCAGCUAACGCAUUAAGCACUCCGCCUGGGGAGUACGACCGCAAGGUUGAAACUCAAAGGAAUUGACGGGGACCCGCACAAGCGGUGGAGCAUGUGGUUUAAUUCGAAGCAACGCGAAGAACCUUACCAAAUCUUGACAUCCUUUGACAACUCUAGAGAUAGAGCUUUCCCCUUCGGGGGACAAAGUGACAGGUGGUGCAUGGUUGUCGUCAGCUCGUGUCGUGAGAUGUUGGGUUAAGUCCCGCAACGAGCGCAACCCUUAAGCUUAGUUGCCAUCAUUAAGUUGGGCACUCUAAGUUGACUGCCGGUGACAAACCGGAGGAAGGUGGGGAUGACGUCAAAUCAUCAUGCCCCUUAUGAUUUGGGCUACACACGUGCUACAAUGGACAAUACAAAGGGCAGCGAAACCGUGAGGUCAAGCAAAUCCCAUAAAGUUGUUCUCAGUUCGGAUUGUAGUCUGCAACUCGACUACAUGAAGCUGGAAUCGCUAGUAAUCGUAGAUCAGCAUGCUACGGUGAAUACGUUCCCGGGUCU